rnacentral:misc_RNA from 1 species
AAAAGGGUUAGAAAAAGAAAGAAAAAAAAGGGUUACAUAUGCUUUUUUCCUUGCUGAUGUCAUGUAACUAAAUGAUGCUAGUGUGACCUUGGAUCCAAAGGUAUCCUGCAAAUUCUGGUCUUUCUGCUUUAUGUAAUAAUUAUGUUUCUUAUCAAUAUCAAUAGUUUCUUGUAUAUUUUCUUGUCAAACCUGGGAAUGAUUCAGCAUAAGCUUUGCUUAGAUGAUAAUUAUUUUCUACAUAUAUUAAUAAUAAGUGAGAAAUAUGAUAUUGGAGCUAUUUCCCAAUGAUCUGUUCAUCAAAUUAAAUCCAAUUUGUUGUUAUCUGGAUAUCCAGACUCCAGAGGUUAUAGUCCUGUAUCCUUUUUUAUUGAAACCUCAACAUUGUUUCUAAGAAUAAACAUAUAAGCAGUAAUUAAUUAUAUAAAUAUUUUUCUGUGCAACAUAUGUGCUACUUUUCUUGUAUGAUAACACAAAUAUUAUUCCAGGUUGAUUCUGU